GCGGAUGUGGCGGAAUUGGUAGACGUGCUAGAUUCAGAGUCUAGUGCCCUUAUGGGCGUGGAGGUUCGAGUCCUCUCAUCCGCA
rnacentral:tRNA from 1 species